GUUUCGGAUUUCAGAUUCUGAAACUACAGCAAACUCUCAGCGCUCUUAGGCUAGCUCCGCGACGGCUCCCAAGGCUGGAGACUCCAAAUCGAAUCCUCUUCGGACUGCCACGCUGCAAAAGACGUCCUGGGAUUGUAUUCCAAUUACAUGACGUCACUGAAUGCUGCUGCUAAGUCACUUCAGUCGUGUCCGACUCUGUGCGACCCCAUAGACAGCAGCCCAUCAGGGUCCCCCGUCCCUGGGAUUCUCCAGAAGGACAUCCAGGGAUGUGAUCCCGAGAAGACUCAACCAGCCUUUUCUGGCUUUGAAAGUGGAGGAAGAGGCCCAUGAGCUAAGGAAUGCAAGGGGCCUCUAGAAGCUGAAGAAGGCAAGGGAAAGUUUCUCCCCCAGAGCUUCCGGAAAGAAAACAGCUUUGCCAACAAACACCUGGAUUUUAGCCUAGUGAGACCCAUGUCAGAAUUCCGGACUCCAGAACGUUGCUAAUUUGUGUCUGACUCUGGAUUGCAAGGAGAUCCAACCAGUCAAUCUUAAAGGAAAUCAGUCCUGAAUAUUCAUUGGAAGGAUUGAUGCUGAAGCUGAAACUCCAAUACUUUGGCCACCUG
ensembl:lncRNA